CUGAUCUUACUAUGGAAAAAGGAAGAGACAUUGAUUCCUCUACUCCAUUGGCCACAAAGCCUAUUCUGGAUAGAGGAAUUGAGAUGUUGCUGAGCUUUCAUUUUAAUAGACAUGGGAGCAUCAAAAGGUAUUAUUUUCAGUAAUUCUCUAGGUGAGAUAGACCAGUUUGAAAAUGCUGACAGCUCUACAAGACUUUACUGCAUCCAGGACAAACAGCAAUGGAACGUUGGUCUGGAAGAAUGCAGGGAGUUGAAUUGGAAGUCAGCUGUUUUGGUGUUGACAAUGUCAAGGCAAAGUAGAGUUUCUUAAGGAGGAGUUUGAAGAUCAGUGAAGUAACUUUACUGUUCUUUACAAGGAACCUUUCUGC